GGUUCUUUAGUUCCAUUAGUGUGAGGCAGCAAUGAUGAGUUUGGUUUAUAAUUGUCAGUUGUAACUGUUAUCUUCAGACGACUAAAUUAUAGUUUGGCUACAAUUCCAUCAGUUGGAAUUUGCUGAAACAUUUCAACUUUAGUUAUCUACCUGCUGUAAAUAUGAAGGUGGUGAUGUAGACUGUCAUUAGUAUUUUUGUGAAAAAUGCAAUGAGUAGACCGUGUAUAAAAUUCCAGUAAAUUAGAUGAUUUAUUCGACAGUUCAAAAUUUGCAUGUGUGAAAUGAAGGGCGGAAAGUCUUGCUGCCAUAUUAUGUAAA
rnacentral:misc_RNA from 1 species